rnacentral:sRNA from 1 species
AGCAAUUAGUGGAUGUUCAUAGGCGGUUGCAUGUCUCACUUUCCAAUCAGUUUUUGCUGAACGGGAAAGGAGGUGAUGCAAAUGACAGUUUUUCAAGCACUGACAUUGAUGAUUAGCUUUUCUGGCUUAAUCGUUUCAAUCAUAGUGUUGUCAUAUACUUUUUCGAAAAAAAAGUAAACCGCCUGUGCUCCCCAGCAUAAGGUACGGUUUACUUUGGUACUGACAUGCGAUCGCCUUUGAAGCGAUGCUCGUUGUUAUUGGCCGUUGGGUGUUCGAGCACCCAGCGG